AAUGAACGCUGGCGGCAUGCUUUACACAUGCAAGUCGAACGGUAACAGGCCCUCGGGCGCUGACGAGUGGCGAACGGGUGAGUAAUGCAUCGGAACGUGCCCAGUCGUGGGGGAUAACGCAGCGAAAGCUGUGCUAAUACCGCAUACGAUCUGUGGAUGAAAGCGGGGGACCUUCGGGCCUCGCGCGAUUGGAGCGGCCGAUGUCAGAUUAGGUAGUUGGUGGGGUAAAGGCUCACCAAGCCAACGAUCUGUAGCUGGUCUGAGAGGACGACCAGCCACACUGGGACUGAGACACGGCCCAGACUCCUACGGGAGGCAGCAGUGGGGAAUUUUGGACAAUGGGCGCAAGCCUGAUCCAGCAAUGCCGCGUGCAGGAAGAAGGCCUUCGGGUUGUAAACUGCUUUUGUACGGAACGAAACGGUCCUGGUUAAUACCUGGGGCUAAUGACGGUACCGUAAGAAUAAGCACCGGCUAACUACGUGCCAGCCGCCGCGGUAAAAC
rnacentral:rRNA from 1 species